CACCUACCAUGGCUGAGUGUUGGCAGAGCUAACACGUGACCGAGCACUUCUACAAUCGGAUUGGCCAACUCGUACUGCUCUGGGGGAAAAAAAAAUUGGCGGUCUAGAAUGCCUAAACAUAACAUGUUUGAUCAAGCGCAUUACCGCCCCUCACCUGGCAACGGGAGCAGUGUGCUGCUGGGUACCAUGCAUUUUACCCGGGCAAUGGCACGGAGGGGAAACGCUGAGGGCGAAGAAGGAGAAGAUUCCACAAACAAAAGUGCUGAUAAGAUGGACAGUCUCAAGCCUGUUAAACAACAGAUUCUCUGGAAAAAGAAGGCU